rnacentral:rRNA from 1 species
GACGAAGGGGACUAGCGUUGUUCGGAAUCACUGGGCGUAAAGCGCACGUAGGCGGAUAUGUCAGUCAGGGGUGAAAUCCCGGGGCUUAACCUCGGAACUGCCUUUGAUACAGCAUAUCUUGAGUCCGAUAGAGGUGGGUGGAAUUCCUAGUGUAGAGGUGAAAUUCGUAGAUAUUAGGAAGAACACCGGUGGCGAAGGCGGCCCACUGGAUCGGUACUGACGCUGAGGUGCGAAAGCGUGGGGAGCAAACAGG